rnacentral:rRNA from 1 species
CAGCCGCCGCGGUAAUACGGAGGGUGCAAGCGUUAAUCGGAAUUACUGGGCGUAAAGCGCACGCAGGCGGUCUGUCAAGUCAGAUGUGAAAUCCCCGGGCUUAACCUGGGAACUGCAUUUGAAACUGGCAGGCUAGAGUCUUGUAGAGGGGGGUAGAAUUCCAGGUGUAGCGGUGAAAUGCGUAGAGAUCUGGAGGAAUACCGGUGGCGAAGGCGGCCCCCUGGACAAAGACUGACGCUCAGGUGCGAAAGCGUGGGGAGCAAACAGGAUUAGAUACCCCAGUAGUCCCUGUCUCUUAUAC